rnacentral:lncRNA from 1 species
AUGACGUUUUUGGAAAGUAUGCUGUGGCAAGAGCUGAUGGAAUGUAAUGAGGAGGUGAUGUGUUCUGGAGAUCUCACACAUUGGCACUUUAUUGCAUGGUUGCCUCCAGUUGGAUCAGCACCUUCAGAAGAAAAUUUUCCAGGAAAAAAGCUUUUCCUGUGGCAGAACUGCACCAUAAGAUGUAUGAAGGUUGCUUCCCAGAAGCUCUCAUUGCACAGAUUAAGCUCUCCAGUUAUGCUGCCCUUACAGCCUGCAACAGCUGUUGGCAGUAUGAAAAAAUUGUCAGCCAGCCAGCUGCAUGCAGUUCGCCUGGGACUGUACAUUGCAACUUGUUGUGAUGAGAGAUGUUGCUUUUCAUCCCAAUGAUCUUUUGCUUCUUUCCAUCUUUUGGAAGCUUUAGAACUGAAAAUAAACUAGUUGGAAUUUUUCUCUAUUGAAGGAAA